CAUGACACUGAUUAGGGAUGUGA
rnacentral:miRNA from 1 species